rnacentral:rRNA from 1 species
AGUGAACGCUGGCGGUAGGCCUAACACAUGCAAGUCGAACGGCAGCACAGUAAGAGCUUGCUCUUACGGGUGGCGAGUGGCGGACGGGUGAGGAAUACAUCGGAAUCUACUUUUUCGUGGGGGAUAACGUAGGGAAACUUACGCUAAUACCGCAUACUACCUACGGGUGAAAGCAGGGGAUCUUCGGACCUUGCGCGAUUGAAUGAGCCGAUGUCGGAUUAGAUAGUUGGCGGGGUAAAGGCCCACCCAGGCGACGAUCCGUAGCUGGUCUGAGAGGAUGAUCAGCCACACUGGAACUGAGACACGGUCCAGACUCCUACGGGAGGCAGCAGUGGGGAAUAUUGGACAAUGGGCGCAAGCCUGAUCCAGCCAUACCGCGUGGGUGAAGAAGGCCUUCGGGUUGUAAAGCCCUUUUGUUGGGAAAGAAAAGCAGCAGGUUAAUACCCCGCUGUUCUGACGGUACCCAAAGAAUAAGCACCGGCUAACUUCGUG